AGGUGAGAAAAACAAAGUUUUCAUCCAUUCUUCUUUCAUUUUGCUGAAAUUUAAAGAACAAGUAAAACAAAAGGUUCUUGGAUAUUCGGCCUUGGUGUUUCUAAUUGGAGCUCAAGAGCAAAGAGGGUCGAAGUUGGAUAGGGGAAAAGAGAAAGUAAUUGAUUAGCCUUUCCGCAACCGUUCAAGUAUAUCCGAGAUUGUUGAUUUUGGCCACCGACUCGAGGAUCGUCAGUAGUUCAUCACACUAUCGAUCUUUUUGGGUACAGUUAUAUUUUGGACUCAAUAUGGCAUGUAUAGGUUAGGCUGAUGAUAAC